UGACGGAAAAAAAUCUAACCAAAGAAAACAGGACUACCUCGACUGUGAAAGCUAAGUCUCUAAGUGAUUUUAUUCUGAUGCACAAGAACUGAAUUUUUGACACCAAUCGGAUCUACCGCAUUACCUGAAGAAGAUCUGAAAUGUAGCCUAUAUUGGUCCGGUAACUAAGCGGGUAUAAAAGCAAUGCUGAAUGACUCUCAACAAGCCUAGACACGGUGUUUCAGAGGCUGACAUUUGUCUGAUAUAUCUGAAGUGAGAAGAACAUGUGUUGUUAAACAUCGAAUACACUCCUUUUUAAGUUUUCUCUAGGCCUAUUGUAACAAACUUCUACAAGAAGUUUAACACUUAAUAUUUUUCAUCAGUUGUCUGGAUACAAAAUGCGUUGAUAUCAAAUCAGUGGAAUCAAAUCACUCAUGUAGGCUUCAAUGUGAUAUCGGUCAGUUAGCACCCAUGGGAGACCACACAGACAUGUUUGUAUAAUCAUGCGUAAAGGCGUGUCCUUGGUAAUAACAAAAAGUAAAAUAACUGGCAUGCAACAAUAACUAUAUAUUUUUUAUAAAAUAUUGCCUAAUCAGUCUCGCUUUUGGCUCCAACAGUUGUCUCAAACAUAUGUGGAUCACAAGGUGAACUUUGCGAAGGCUAGCCUUGUGAAGUAUCAGCUUCUGGUUUCGUCGUGGUGUAUGGAUUCAGUCACGUUACCACUCAUGUUGCACAACUCGCCAAAUAGGGCGAAAGCCCUAUGGUCUAUAAUUAAACCCGGCACCUGAGACGUGGGAUGUUCUAGAACAUAGAGGAUGGGAAAGCACCGCGUGCGCGGAGCCGGUAUAAGAGCCGCUACGCUAUGCAACUGGUUUGGCACCGAUAUCCCCCCUCGAGCAGGACAGAUACAAAGUUUAGCCAGUACCCCAGAGCUGCUUCUUUGCUUCUUGUGUGAUUUAACGAAGAUGGGUCUAUAAUGGUUUUACCACAAGAAACCCCCAAAGGAAUACACCUGUUAUCUUUCCCGUUACUGUGACACCAGAAGCCAUAUCAUGAGGAGUAUACAUCUAAAUCAUAAACCCGGAAGGUAUUACGGGUCACCUUUACAUUACUACAGAUUACAUCACGGGGAGACAGAAUUCAAGGUACGGCCUGAUGACAGCCAUAUCUAUUCUCUGCUCCUGGUCUCCAAUGACGACCGUCCUCCACAACCUCCCAGUCUCCUGCUCCCCUGUCUGACUUCCUGGUAGAGCCGUGGAAUUGGCUAUAGGAGUGUCGUCUCUCGUUGCCGUUGUUAAUGAACUCCAGGGAGUCAUUGUCAUCGGGCGUGUCCAUAUCGUCGACGUUAAAAUCCUGGUCGUCAGGGGUACCC